CGCGGGGUAGAGCAGUUUGGUAGCUCGCAAGGCUUAUAACCUUGAGGUCACGGGUUCAAAUCCUGUCUCCGCAA
rnacentral:tRNA from 1 species